UACGGAGGGUGCAAGCGUUAUCCGGAUUCACUGGGUUUAAAGGGUGCGUAGGUGGGUUGGUAAGUCAGUGGUGAAAUCUCCGGGCUUAACCCGGAAACUGCCGUUGAUACUAUCUGUCUUGAAUAUCGUGGAGGUGAGCGGAAUAUGUCAUGUAGCGGUGAAAUGCUUAGAUAUGACAUAGAACAUCAAUUGCGAAGGCAGCUCGCUACACGGUUAUUGACACUGAGGCACGAAAGCGUGGGGAUCAAACAGG
rnacentral:rRNA from 1 species